rnacentral:lncRNA from 1 species
AUGGACAUGGGGUGUCUCAUCCUGCGAAGGGAUUUUACAUGCUGGGAACAUGAGCGAAGACAGAAUACGAGUUUUGGGUGGGUGGGUAAAACCCAGGCGAAGGAGAUGGGACUGUAUGGAAGGGAGUUUAGUCCAACGGUAGCUAUUCCUGUAAAUCCACCAUGGCUACUCCCGCCUCUAGCAGUUGAUCUAGAAGUAUUGGAGAGACUACAGAAAGAUAGGGAGGGUGUUGAUCCAUCUGAAUUGUUUAAGAGAUGUCUGGAUACUGUGUUUCAGGAUUUUGUGGCCAUUUACACAGAUGGUUCAAAAGAUCCAAGGACAGGACGUACUGGGUCAGCAUUUGAAGAGCAGGAAUGUGGGGUGCCAGUCAGGAAACGUAUUACAGAUCAUAUGGCUGUAUAUACGGCUGAGAUGAUGGCCAUACUAUUGGCCUUGCAGUGGGUGGAGGAAGUCAAGCCAGACAGAGUAGUUAUUUGCUCUGAUUCAUGUGCAGUGUUGAUGAGUCUCCAGUCCUUUAGGCCACGUGGCAGACAAGACCUGCUUUAUGAGGUGCUACAAAUCCAUGGUAGGAUUAGACAGAUGGGUAUACAGAUAAGAUUUACAUGGGUCCCAGCACAUGUGAGGGUGGAGGGGAACGAGGCUGUUGAUGUACUGACUCAACAAGCACUUAGUAGGUGGGUUGUUGAUGUUGUAGUUUCAAUGAGCAAGGUAGAGGCAAAAAGCCUGAUAUGGACAGUAAGGAUGCAGAGAUGGCAGGAGCAGUGGAAUAGAGAUACUAAGGGCGGGCAUUUAUUUCAAGUACAGAGGAAAGUCGUGGAGGUGAGGACGGCAGGAAGGAACAGAAUAAAGGAGGCAAUUUUUUCAAGAUUAAGGGUGGGACACAGCCGGUUGAAUAAAACCUUAAAUGUGAUAGGAAAGCAUCCAACGGGAAAGUGUGAUUAUUACCAGGAAACAGAGACCAUGGAGCAUGUACUGCUACAGUGUGGGCAGUAUCAGAGGGAAAAAAGAGGCUGA